CAGCUUGCAGCUUGAAACAGUGGAGGCAGGAGGCGGGGAUUCCAUCUCUGGCUUAUGCUUGCAGCUGUUCGACGCCAGGGUCUCUUCCUGUGGAUUCCUGGAGACCUUGUAACUCGAAGAAGCAAUGGAGACAGGAGGCAAGUCCAUGACACAAGAGACCAUCGAGCCACCACCCUUUAGGCUUUCUGUAAUGGCCCAUCCUGAUUUGUGCCUCGGUUUGAGGUCCGAUCGGGUGCGGCCGCCACUGCCCAGAACAUUCCAUUCAACCCUUCCUUGGAACCCUUUCUCUUCAUACUCCUUCCUAGAAGCGUUCCGGUUGCUUCUUGUGAUCAUUACGAGUGUUGGCAGAGAAGAGAUGAUGGCAGUGACAACUCUUUUCACAGACUUACUCUUCGAUGUCGACUCUGUUCUUGGGUGCCUGAGACGGAGAUCAGAGGAACUGGUUGAGUGGGUCCAUAGCAUCUGACUAUGUACAGCUACUUAUGCCUUCUACGUGGUCGAGUGGUUACGUUCGUCAGUGGAGAUCUGCGAGAAACAUUAGCAAGCAUUACGCACAUGAUGUGUUUGAUGGUAUGUGUAAGAGUAACAUUUCUUGUGAUCAUCAGAGAGAUGAUGGCAGUGGCAACUCUUUUGACGACCUACUCUUCGAUGUCGACUCGGUUCUUGGGUGCCUGAGACGGAGAUCAGAGGAACUGUUUGAGUGGGUCCAUAGCAUCUGACUAUGAACAGCUACUUAUGCCUUCUAUGUGGUCUGAGUGGUUCGGUUCGUCAGAGGAGCUCUGCGAGAAACAUUAACAAGAAUUACGCGCACGACGUGUUUGAAGAUAUGUGUAAGAGUAACAUUUCUUGUGUUCAUCAGAGAGAUGAUGGCAGUGGCAACUCUUUUGACGACCUACUCUUCGAUGUCGACUCGGUUCUUGGGUGCCUGAGACGGAGAUCAGAGGAACUGUUUGAGUGGGUCCAUAGCAUCUGACUAUGAACAGCUACUUAUGCCUUCUGUGUGGUCGAAUUGUUCAGUUCGUCAGUGGAGAUCUGUGAGUAACAUAAGCAAGAAUUGCGCACAUGACAUGUUUGAUGGUAUGCGUAGGAGUAACAUUUCUUGUGAUCAUCGGAGAGAUGAUGGCAGUGGCAACUCUGUUCACGGCUUACUCUUCGAUGUUGACUCAGUUCUUGGGUGCCUGAGACGGAGAUCAGAGGAACUGUUUGAGUGGGUCCAUAGCAUCUGACUGUGAACAGCUACUUAUGCCUUCUAUGUGGUCGAAUGGUCAUCUCGUCAGUGGAGAUCUGUGAGUAACAUUAGCAAGAAUUACGCACAUGACGUGUUUGAUGGUAUUUGUAAGAGUAACAUUUCUUGUGAUCAUCAGAGAGAUGAUGGCAGUGGCAACUCUGUUCACGGCCUACUCUUCGAUGUUGACUCAGUUCUUGGGUGCCUGAGACGGAGAUCAGAGGAACUGUUUGAGUGGGUCCAUAGCAUCUGACUGUGAACAUGAUGGUAUGCGUAGGAGUAAUAUUUCUUGUGAUCAUCGGAGAGAUGAUGGCAGUGGCAACUCUGUUCACGGCCUACUCUUCGAUGUUGACUCAGUUCUUGGGUGCCUGAGACGGAGAUCAGAGGAACUGUUUGAGUGGGUCCAUAGCAUCUGACUGUGAACAUGAUGGUAUGCGUAGGAGUAAUAUUUCUUGUGAUCAUCGGAGAGAUGAUGGCAGUGGCAACUCUGUUCACGGCCUACUCUUCGAUGUUGACUCAGUUCUUGGGUGCCUGAGACGGAGAUCAGAGGAACUGUUUGAGUGGGUCCAUAGCAUCUGACUGUGAACAGCUACUUAUGCCUUCUAUGUGGUCGAAUGGUCAGCUCGUCAGUGGAGAUCUGUGAGUAACAUUAGCAAGAAUUACGCACAUGACGUGUUUGAUGGUAUGUGUAAGGGUGACAUGUUACGUGAUCUUUGACGAUGAACGCAAGAUAAGAGUUUUACUUAUCAUUUGACUAGAAUGGAAUAAUGGGAGUGGAGUAAGAUGCCUUGGUUUUAGUUACAGAGUAUGUGCCUGAUUACAUGGAAAUAUGAAGAAGCUAUUGAUUUUAAGAAGUAUACUUCUAGAACCGAAGCUGGAGACGAUAAUACAAGCUCUCUUUUCUGAUAAAGAAGUCAUUGGGAUGGAUAUCUGUAUAGUAGGUAGAACUGGAGAACAAGCAAGUUGAUUUGGGAUCCUUUAUCUAAGAGUCUUGAGGCCUAUCUUUCAAUACAUCUUUAUGGAGCAAUUCUUUCAUAGCUGAAGAGCUAUCUAUGUUGAUUACCAUUCCAAUGAGAAUACUCAGGAUACAAUUAUCUACUGUUGCAGGACCUCCAUAGCUUGAAUGGCAGCAUGUCCGUAUGAUUUGGCCUUGGCACUGGAGGUACAAAGUCUUGAUUUGUUGCAUCCAUCAUUUGCAUCGAUCGAACGUUCAUCUGUUGUUUUGCUGUUGCUCGAUGCUUGCAUUCUGGCAGCAGCUUGGGAUGGAUAGCCAAGAUCAUCAAAAUAAGGCAGCCCAACCUUGUGCUCGACAUCGAAUUCUGGUGUCCUCAAGCUGUCUGAGCCUGUCUCGCCCACCGAACCCAUGGUCUCUCCUGAGGAUGUCUCCUGCUGUUGCUGCAUCUUCUCCCAGGCUUCCCUUGUUGGAGCUGCGGCUUGCAUCAGCCAACCUGUACUCAUGCAUGAUCCAAUCGGUCUUCACGCCUCUUGGUGCCUUGCCGGUGUAGAAGACCAAAGCUUUUUUGAUACCCAAAGUCCUUUCGCUGCCCUUUGCUGAGAUCGGCUUAUCGGCACCAGUUGCCUUCCAGUAUCCCUUCCCGGCGGCCCUGUUGGGUCUCGAGCCGUUGAGUACCUGGUAGCUCCCAGGGGUUGUGCUUGUAGAGAUCGAUGUCGACGAUGAUGGGUGCGGGUAGGCACAGGCAGGCCAUCUUCCGGCAGAGGUAGUGCACGACGAGCUCUUCGUCCGUGGGGUGGAAGCGGAACCCCGGUGGCAGGUUGAGCUCCGCUUCCGCGUCUCUUUUCCUCCCCAUCCUCGUCUCCUUCGCCGGCUCACAAGUCAAGAAAGCUCUCCACUCUCUCUCAGAUGGCAGCCAAAAGUUGCACCGGCAACGAUUGGUAAAACACGUACGUGUGUGGCCCUAUGGGACAUGGGAGGAGUUGUGUGGGUUCUUGAGUGGACCCCAUCGGCCGCAUGUGGGACCCAGGAAACUUCGUGUGCGCUUCGGAGGCGGCUGACGACCAUUGAUCUCCUUGGAAGAGUAAUAUUUUGAUUAUAAUGAUUUUUUUCUUAUUGUAAUUAAUUUAAAGUUGGGAUAAAGAGGGACGGGUCUCUGUUUAAACCUAACCCUCCCUCCCCCCCCCCCAAAAAAAAGAAUUAGAUCAAAUUAUUCGAACAGUAGAAAUGGAACGAAGAAGUGAUG